AGUGGGGAAUAUUGCACAAUGGGCGCAAGCCUGAUGCAGCGACGCCGCGUGAGGGAUGAUGGCCUUCGGGUUGUAAACCUCUUUCAAUAGGGACGAAGCGCAAGUGACGGUACCUAUAGAAGAAGGACCGGCCAACUACGUGCCAGCAGCCGCGGUAAUACGUAGGGUCCGAGCGUUGUCCGGAAUUACUGGGCGUAAAGAGCUCGUAGGUGGUUUGUCGCGUUGUUCGUGAAAACUCACAGCUUAACUGUGGGCGUGCGGGCGAUACGGGCAGACUAGAGUACUGCAGGGGAGACUGGAAUUCCUGGUGUAGCGGUGGAAUGCGCAGAUAUCAGGAGGAACACCGGUGGCGAAGGCGGGUCUCUGGGCAGUAACUGACGCUGAGGAGCGAAAGCGUGGGGAGCGAACAGGAUUAGAUACCCUGGUAGUCCACGCCGUAAACGGUGGGUACUAGGUGUGGGUUUCCUUCCUUGGGAUCCGUGCCGUAGCUAACGCAUUAAGUACCCCGCCUGGGGAGUACGGCCGCAAGGCUAAAACUCAAAGAAAUUGACGGGGGCCCGCACAAGCGGCGGAGCAUGUGGAUUAAUUCGAUGCAACGCGAAGAACCUUACCUGGGUUUGACAUGCACAGGACGCCAGUAGAGAUAUUGGUUCCCUUGUGGCCUGUGUGCAGGUGGUGCAUGGCUGUCGUCAGCUCGUGUCGUGAGAUGUUGGGUUAAGUCCCG
rnacentral:rRNA from 1 species